GGGGAAUAUUGCGCAAUGGGCGAAAGCCUGACGCAGCGACGCCGCGUGGGGGAUGACGGCCUUCGGGUUGUAAACCUCUUUCGACCGGGACGAAGCGUGAGUGACGGUACCGGUAGAAGAAGCACCGGCCAACUACGUGCCAGCAGCCGCGGUAAUACGUAGGGUGCGAGCGUUGUCCGGAAUUAUUGGGCGUAAAGAGCUCGUAGGCGGUGUGUCGCGUCGGUCGUGAAAACUUGGGGCUGUACCCUGAGCGUGCGGUCGAUACGGGCAUCACUUGAGUUCGGCAGGGGAGACUGGAAUUCCUGGUGUAGCGGUGAAAUGCGCAGAUAUCAGGAGGAACACCGGUGGCGAAGGCGGGUCUCUGGGCCGAUACUGACGCUGAGGAGCGAAAGCGUGGGGAGCGAAC
rnacentral:rRNA from 1 species